GCUUAACACAUGCAAGUCGAGGGGCAGCAUGGUCUUAGCUUGCUAAGGCUGAUGGCGACCGGCGCACGGGUGAGUAACACGUAUCCAACCUGCCGUCUACUCUUGGCCAGCCUUCUGAAAGGAAGAUUAAUCCAGGAUGGGAUCAUGAGUUCACAUGUCCGCAUGAUUAAAGGUAUUUUCCGGUAGACGAUGGGGAUGCGUUCCAUUAGAUAGUAGGCGGGGUAACGGCCCACCUAGUCAACGAUGGAUAGGGGUUCUGAGAGGAAGGUCCCCCACAUUGGAACUGAGACACGGUCCAAACUCCUACGGGAGGCAGCAGUGAGGAAUAUUGGUCAAUGGGCGAUGGCCUGAACCAGCCAAGUAGCGUGAAGGAUGACUGCCCUAUGGGUUGUAAACUUCUUUUAUAAAGGAAUAAAGUCGGGUAUGCAUACCCGUUUGCAUGUACUUUAUGAAUAAGGAUCGGCUAACUCCGUGCCAGCAGCCGCGGUAAUACGGAGGAUCCGAGCGUUAUCCGGAUUUAUUGGGUUUAAAGGGAGCGUAGAUGGAUGUUU
rnacentral:rRNA from 1 species